rnacentral:rRNA from 1 species
UUCCGGUUGAUCCUGCCGGAGGCUACCGCUAUUGGAGUUCGAUUAAGCCAUGCGAGUCCAGAGCUUUCGGAGCUCGGCGUACCGCUCAGUAACACGUGGGUAACCUAACCUAUGCAGGGGAAUAACCUCGGGAAACUGAGAAUAAUGCCCCAUAGUCCACUACGCCUGGAACGGUGAGUGGAUCAAAGCUCAGGCGGCAUAGGAUGGGCCUGCGGCGUAUCAGGUUGUAGGGGGUGUAAAGUACCCUCUAGCCAUCUACGCGUACGGGUGUUGGGAGACAUAGCCCGGAGAUGGAUUCUGAGACACGAAUCCAGACCCUACGGGGUGCAGCAGGCGCGAAAACUUGACAAUGCGAGCAAUCGUGAUCAGGGAACUCCAAGUGGCUGGGGUAAGACCCAGUCUUUUCAUAACUCUUCAAAGGUUGUAGAAUAAGGGGUGGGUAAGGACGGUGCCAGCCGCCGCGGUAAUACCGGCGCCUCAAGUGGUAGUCGCUUUUAUUGGGCCUAAAACGUCCGUAGCCGGUUUGGUACAUUCGUGGGUAAAUCAACUCGCUCAACGAGUUGAAUUCUGCGAGGACGGCCAAACUUGGGACCGGGAGAGGUGUGGGGUACUCUCAGGGUAGGGGUAAAAUCCUGUCAUCCUGAGAGGACCACCUGUUGCGAAGGCGCCACACUAGAACGGAUCCGACGGUCAGGGACGAAGCCUAGGGGCACGAACCGGAUUAGAUACCCGGGUAGUCCUAGGUGUAAACGCUGUGGACUUGAUGUUGGAGAAGCUCCGAGCUUCUUCAGUGUCGAAGCGAAGGUGAUAAGUCCACUGCCUGGGAAGUACGGUCGCAAGGCUGAAACUUAAAGGAAUUGGUGGGGGAGCACCGCAACCUGAGGAUUGUGCGGUUUAAUUGGACUCAACGCCGGAA